rnacentral:tRNA from 1 species
GGAAAAGUUUCCAAUGGUAGGGUAAGAUACUUGCUAUGUAUUAUGUUUUUACAUUUAGGUGUUCGAUUCACCUCUUUUCCG